GGGAGCGGCCGUGUCCGGCUGAGCCCCUCUGCCAGAGCGUCCCCAGGAAGAUUCAUUAGCUCUUGACUGGCUCUCCUGGCUUGCUGACUACUUGUGGAAAAAGCCAUUUACCCUGGUGAAUGUCAAGGCCAGAAGGUGAGGGCCAGCUCUGAGGGUCCCGUCCAGAGAGCCACCUCUCCCACUCUGAUGCCCAUCUGAGGGUCCUGGGACCAAAGGGAAGCAUAAAGGAUAGACAUGUCCUUGUUGCAAAAGGCAGAGCACACCUAUGGCAAACAGACACUGUGAGCAAGAAUAAAGAUUAAGGAAAUAAAGUGCUGUCUUACAGCAUUUCUUAGCUAGGAGACCGAGAGCCUUCUGUAAAAAGCUCAUUAGGAAUCUUAAUACAGAAGGAAAAAGUGCUGCAAUUAUAAAGAUUCAACUCAAAAUAUUUUUGGAGACUGUAGUAGCUUUUGAAUUCUCUCAUUCACCUAUAAGGCACAAGAGAAGCUUGGUCUGAGAGUUCUGGUGCAGAAGAGCUCUCCUGUAAAGCAAUACUCACCUACAGUCAAUUAGACAUUAGCCAGUGCUUUGAAGUUUAGAGACUCUGAGAUUCUUCAAAUCUUUUGAACCAGUAUUUCAGCCGAGGUCAAACACGGCACCGAGACCUUGCUUCAGACUUCUCUGCCCUCGCAACAACAAACAUGGUUUGUGGUAUUUCUAAUUUGUGGAGGUUUCUGAGAUGAGCAGAUCAAAAAUGUAAAUGGCUUCAGCCCUCGGGUCAAGCAGGCAAUCUGUGCCAGCGUGUGAAGGAAAUGAGUAUGACAGUUCACAAAACGUUGCUUCCAGGAAUAAGUGCGCUCAGUUUCCUAAUAAUCUAAUGGUGGGCUUAAAGAGGACGCUCCGAAUCCCAGUCUCCCUCUGAAUUUCCUCUGGGUUGCAGCUGGAGAGCAGACCCUGGACCUGUCAGAAGACAGAUCUGUCUACUUAGAAGGCCUAGGCUUGGACAUAACUUUUGGUCACCGCAUGUUUCAGCAUCUGCCUGACUUGCUGGGUCAGGAUUCAAAGGAGCCUGUGUUUUUUACCCCUGUGCAAAUGAGUCCUGCAAAAAACCCUUCCCUGCUUUUAUUGUCUGCAAGGCUCCUUUCCACACUAAUUCUGCACUUGUAAAACACUCCUGCAAAAUGAAGCCAGAGAUGUACAAGGCCGGUCCUGUCUGCUUCCAUUAGGGAUGGGGAGCAUUCCUAUCAGUUUGAAAGUAGGUCGAGGCCUUUUCAUGUUCAUUCAGUUUUCAGGUUUCAUUUUUACACACACACACAUAUUAUAGGUGGGGCUGAUGGCACUGUCUAUUACUAAGAUUGUAUGACACUUCCCAUUAUAAGAAACUGUUUCAUUUGCUUAUAACUUCGCCAAACUCAAACCAGACUUUUUCUGUAAUUGCAGCUUCCAGCUGCUGGAAGAGGGGCCUUGGAGAGAACAACAGGAAUCAUUUUUCCUUGGGUAUCUCCAGGUCUUGGAGACACAGAAAAGGAAACAUUUAAUGGGGGGAGAGGAGGACACAUGAGGAAGACUGUGAGGAUGGAAAGAAAUCCACAGCAUAACAGGUCAAGCAAAAUUGAAAUAUGGGAUGGGAAAGAUGGGUUACAGCUGGCCUUGCUUGGGUGGACACAGACUCUGCAGAGAGGAGCCGGUGCUAAAUGAUGAGGGGAAGAGUAAGGUUCUUUGGGCUAAGUAAUGAGAUAAAAACACUUGUAGGAAUAAAAAUAAUAAUUUUUUUUUUUUUAAAUAGACCCUGGGCAAGCAAUGAGACUGGGAGUCAGCUGAUGGCAGCAAAACAGUGGAGCUGGACAAGGACAUGAUGGUGGGGCAGGCUGGGUGAGGAAGCAGGAACAGAAUCCAACUGAAGGGUCGGUGCAGAAGGUCACAUAAUCACACCAGUUGGUCUGUGUCAAUGGGAAAAUGUCAGGGAUGUCCCACAGUGAAGGAAGAACUUUGAAUGAACUUCCCAACUUAUCCUGGAAAAAUGAAAGUAGCACAAAGCUGAGUUCAACAGACACGGAGUCUCCUUUUCUUAGAAACAGGCACUACCUGUGCUCCUCAGCAAGGGGAAGGAAAGGCCUUUCAGCCCCCUUAUCCCUAAACAGCAUCAAUUUCUGCCACUGCUUCCAGCAUAAACACUGGGUAUAAGGGGGAAAAAAUCAUAAAAUGAUCACUAAGAUUAAAAAAAAGCACAUUGACAAAGACUAUCUGAGCGGUGAGAGGAAAGAGCUACCGAGGGAAGCAUUCAUGGGCAAGUGCUCCCUUUGAGUUUCCCUGUGACCCUGUAAAGAUGAGAACUGAGGUGCCCCAAAUCCCUAGUGAGUUCUGAAAUUACAAGUUAUAUCUUCCAUAUUGCUAUAUUUCCUGACAUAAUUCUUAGGAACUAUUUGCACAUCCAGGGAUUCACAAAAAAAAAAAAAAAAAA
rnacentral:lncRNA from 1 species